rnacentral:tRNA from 1 species
GGAGGUGUCGCCUAGAGGCCUAUGGCAGAGGUUUGCUAAACCUCCGAGCAUCUAAAAGUGCUCGCGCGGGUUCGAAUCCCGCCACCUCCG